UAGCAGGGUAGUUCUAAAGCUUUUAAAGGCAAAUGCUGAAAACCAGAGUAAGCUCAUUAUUACAUUUCUAUAUUAUAGAUCUUAUUUUUAAAAUGUAAUUUUUGGGUUUAGCGUUGCUUU